AGCAGCAGCCGCGGUAAUACGGAGGGGGCUAGCGUUGUUCGGAAUUACUGGGCGUAAAGCGCACGUAGGCGGUUAUGUAAGACAGUUGUGAAAUCCCCGGGCUCAACCUGGGAACUGCAUCUGUGACUGCAUAGCUAGAGUACGGUAGAGGGGGAUGGAAUUCCGCGUGUAGCAGUGAAAUGCGUAGAUAUGCGGAGGAACACCGAUGGCGAAGGCAAUCCCCUGGACCUGUACUGACGCUCAUGCACGAAAGCGUGGGGAGCAAACAGGAUUAGAUACCCCCGUAGUCCCUGUCUCUUAUAC
rnacentral:rRNA from 1 species